UAAACUAUUUGCCAUAUCACCACAAUCUUAUAUAAUCUUUUUUUUUUUUUUUGAGACAGAGUUUAGCUCUUGUAGCCCAGGCUGGAGUGCAAUGGCGCGAUCUCAGCUCACUGCAACCUCCGCCUCCCAGGUUCAAGUGAUUCUCCUGCCUCAGACUCCUGAGUAGCUAGGAUUACAGGUGCCUGCCAUGAUGCUCGGCCAAUUUUGUAUUUUUUUAAGGAGAAAUGGGGUUUCACCAUGUUGGUCAGGCUGGUCUUGAACUCCUGACCUCAGAUGAUCCACCUGCCUUGGCCUUCCAAAGUGCUGGGAUUACAGGCAUGAGCCACCGCGCCCGGCUAUAAUCUCUCAUUUUCUAAGCUCAUGUUGCCUAAUUUCAAAUUAUAUAACUUUAUUGAAAUAUUCUUUAAGCCACUGACUUCUAGUGAGAACCGUUUUCACUUUGUUUCCUAUUUUGAAAAUGUAAAAUUUAUGUUAUGCUGGCUACAGGAAAAUAAUUUUUGUUUGCUUUUAUGUUUUCUUUCAGGUUUGUUAUCCAGGCAUAAGACCAAGAAAUUAUCUUCAGAAAAGGACAUUCAUGAAAUCAGUUUAUCCAAAGGGAGUAUAAUAGAAAAAAGUAAAACUCUUCAUCUGAAAGGAUCCAUUUUUAGAAAUGAGUGGCAGAACAAAAGUGAGUUUGAGGGUCAACAGGGACUUAAAGAAAGAUCUAUCAGUCAAAAGAAAAUCGUCUCUAAAAAAAUGUCAACUGAUAGAAAACAUCCCUCUUUUACUCUGAAUCAGAGAAUUCAUAAUAGUGAGAAAAGCUGUGACUCAAACUUGGUUCAACAUGGGAAAAUAGAUUCUGAUGUGAAACAUGAUUGUAAAGAAUGUGGGAGUACUUUUAAUAAUGUCUAUCAGCUUACUCUCCAUCAGAAAAUUCAUACUGGUGAAAAAUCCUGUAAAUGUGAGAAAUGUGGGAAAGUUUUUAGUCAUAGCUAUCAACUUACUCUGCAUCAGAGAUUUCAUACUGGUGAGAAACCCUAUGAAUGUCAAGAAUGUGGGAAGACCUUUAUUCUUUACCCACAACUUAAUCGACAUCAGAAAAUUCACACUGGUAAAAAACCCUAUAUGUGUAAGAAAUGUGAUAAGGGUUUUUUUAGUAGAUUAGAACUUACUCAACAUAAAAGAAUUCAUACUGGUAAGAAAUCUUAUGAAUGUAAAGAAUGUGGAAAAGUUUUUCAACUUAUUUUCUACUUUAAAGAACAUGAGAGAAUUCAUACAGGUAAGAAACCCUAUGAAUGUAAGGAGUGUGGGAAAGCUUUUAGUGUAUGCGGACAACUUACCCGUCAUCAGAAAAUUCAUACUGGUGUAAAACCCUACGAAUGUAAGGAAUGUGGAAAGACCUUUAGACUUAGUUUUUACCUUACUGAACACAGAAGAACUCAUGCAGGUAAGAAACCUUAUGAAUGUAAGGAGUGUGGGAAAUCAUUUAAUGUGCGUGGACAGCUUAAUCGGCAUAAAACAAUCCAUACUGGUAUAAAACCUUUUGCAUGUAAGGUGUGUGAGAAGGCUUUUAGUUAUAGUGGUGACCUCAGAGUACAUUCUAGAAUUCAUACUGGAGAGAAACCAUAUGAAUGUAAGGAAUGCGGGAAAGCCUUUAUGCUUCGUUCAGUCCUUACUGAACAUCAGAGACUUCAUACUGGUGUGAAGCCCUACGAAUGUAAGGAAUGUGGGAAGACCUUUCGAGUUCGUUCUCAAAUUAGUCUACAUAAGAAAAUUCAUACUGAUGUGAAGCCCUACAAAUGUGUACGAUGUGGGAAGACCUUUAGAUUUGGUUUCUACCUUACUGAACACCAGAGAAUUCACACUGGUGAAAAGCCCUAUAAAUGUAAAGAAUGUGGAAAGGCCUUUAUUCGUAGAGGGAAUCUUAAAGAACAUCUGAAAAUUCAUUCUGGUUUAAAACCCUAUGACUGUAAAGAAUGUGGGAAGUCCUUUAGUCGGCGUGGGCAGUUCACUGAACAUCAGAAAAUUCAUACGGGUGUAAAACCAUACAAAUGUAAAGAAUGUGGGAAGGCCUUUAGUCGUAGUGUAGACCUUAGAAUACAUCAAAGAAUUCAUACUGGUGAGAAACCCUAUGAGUGUAAACAAUGUGGGAAGGCCUUUAGACUUAAUUCACACCUUACUGAACAUCAGAGAAUUCAUACUGGUGAGAAACCCUAUGAGUGUAAGGUAUGUAGAAAGGCCUUUAGACAAUAUUCACAUCUUUAUCAACAUCAGAAAACUCAUAAUGUAAUUUAAUAUAAGAAAAAGUUUCCAUGUCAUGCUCUAUUUAUAGAAUAUCAAAAUAUUUAUGGCCAGAAGUUCUGUCAAUGUGUUGAUGUUUUUUUUACACAUAUUAACUUAAUAAAUGUGUGAGUCUUAAAUACCUCUUAGUUCUCCUUAAAUUUAGGAAAAUUCACACUAGAAAAUAAAGCUGUUAAUGUAACAGUUGUGGAAAAGUGUUCUAGCAACAGCAUAUACUUAUCAUCAUUGCCUUUCCACUACUCUACUAUCUGUGUGAUAUUAGACAAAAUAUUUGCUUCUUGGUACCUCAGCUGUAAAAUGAAACACACCUAAAAGUGUGGUUGUUUCCAACAUGUAUAAUACAGCAACAACUAUCUGGCCCAAACUGCUUUGGAUUAAUAUUGGAUAUUACUGUUUUUAUUAUCAUCAACAUUAUUAUUAGUGGAUUUCUUAAUAGGAAGAUGCAAUGGAGAUGACAAAUUUGGAAAAACCACUCAUCACUUAUAUUUCAUGAAGUACUUCUUUGAUAAAAUCUGUUAUGGGCUGAAUGUUUGUGUUCCUGUAACAAUUCCUAUGUUGAAACACGAAUCCCAAGGUGAUGGUAUUUGAAGGUAGGGCCUUUAGGAAGAAAUUAGGUCAUGAGGGUGGAGCCUUCAUGAGUGGAAUUACUGCCUUUAUAAGAAGAAGCCAAAGAGCCAGCUAGCUCUUUCAACCACAUGAGGUUACAGCAAGAAGUCAGCAGUCUACAGUGCAAAAGAGGGCCUUCACCAGAACCCAAGCAUGCUGGCACCUUGACCUUGGACUUUCAGCCUCCAAAACUGUGAGAAAUAAAUUUCAGUUGUUUAU
rnacentral:sRNA from 1 species